rnacentral:rRNA from 1 species
AUUGAACGCUGGCGGCAGGCCUAACACAUGCAAGUCGAGCGGUAGAGCGAAGCUUGCUUCUCUUGAGAGCGGCGGACGGGUGAGUAAUGCCUAGGAAUCUGCCUGGUAGUGGGGGAUAACGUUCGGAAACGGACGCUAACACCGCAUACGUCCUACGGGAGAAAGCAGGGGACCUUCGGGCCUUGCGCUAUCAGAUGAGCCUAGGUCGGAUUGGCUAGUUGGUGGGGUAAUGGCUCACCAAGGCGGCCAUCCGCAACUGGUCUGAGAGGAUGAUCAGUCACACUGGAACUGAGACACGGUCCAGACUCCUACGGGAGGCAGCAGUGGGGAAUAUUGGACAAUGGGCGAAAGCCUGAUCCAGCCAUGCCGCGUGUGUGAAGAAGGUCUUCGGAUUGUAAAGCACUUUAAGUUGGGAGGAAGGGCAGUAAAUUAAUACUUUGCUGUUUUGACGUUACCGACAGAAUAAGCACCGGCUAACUCUGUG